rnacentral:rRNA from 1 species
GAUGAACGCUGGCGGCGUGCUUAACACAUGCAAGUCGAACGGAAAGGCCCAAGCUUGCUUGGGUACUCGAGUGGCGAACGGGUGAGUAACACGUGGGUGAUCUGCCCUGCACUUCGGGAUAAGCCUGGGAAACUGGGUCUAAUACCGGAUAGGACGAUGGUUUGGAUGCCAUUGUGGAAAGUUUUUUCGGUGUGGGAUGAGCUCGCGGCCUAUCAGCUUGUUGGUGGGGUAAUGGCCUACCAAGGCGUCGACGGGUAGCCGGCCUGAGAGGGUGUACGGCCACAUUGGGACUGAGAUAUGGCCCAGACUCCUACGGGAGGCAGCAGUGGGGAAUAUUGCACAAUGGGCGCAAGCCUGAUGCAGCGACGCCGCGUGGGGGAUGACGGCCUUCGGGUUGUAAACUCCUUUCGCUAGGGACGAAGCGUUUUUGUGACGGUACCUGGAGAAGAAGCACCGGCUAACUACGUG